AUUGAACGCUGGCGGCAGGCCUAACACAUGCAAGUCGAACGAGUGGCGGACGGGUGAGUACUGUCUGGGAAACUGCCUUAUGGAGGGGGAUAACUACUGGAAACGGUAGCUAAUACCGCCUACCAUCGGAUGUGCCCACAUGGGAUUAGCUAGUCGGUGGGGUAAAGGCUCACCUAGGCGACGAUCCCUAGCUGGUCUGAGAGGAUGACCAGCCACACUGGGACUGAGACACGGUCCAGACUCCUACGGGAGGCAGCAGUGGGGAAUAUUGCACAAUGGGCGCAAGCCUGAUACAGCCAUGACGCGUGUAUGAAGAAGGCCUUAGGGUUGUAAAGUACUUUCAGCGGGGAGGCGUUACCCGCAGAAGAAGCACCGGCUAACUCCGUGCCAGCAGCCGCGGUAAUUC
rnacentral:rRNA from 1 species